rfam:Sphaerobolus stellatus SS14 unplaced genomic scaffold SPHSTscaffold_442, whole genome shotgun sequence.
AGUGGGAUGGCCGAGUUGGUCUAAGGCGUUAGACUAGGGCGCUUAGAUUUUCCUUUAACCUCAUCUCGGGGGCGUGGGUUCAAAUUUCACUCUCAUUA